rnacentral:rRNA from 1 species
UACAGAGGUCCCAAGCGUUGUUCGGAUUCAUUGGGCGUAAAGGGUGCGUAGGUGGCGGGGUAAGUUGGAUGUGAAAUCCUGGGGCUCAACCCUAGAACUGCAUUCAAUACUGCCUUGCUGGAGUACUGGAGAGGAGAUUGGAAUUUACGGUGUAGCAGUGAAAUGCGUAGAUAUCGUAAGGAAGACCGGUGGCGAAGGCGGAUCUCUGGACAGUUACUGACACUGAGGCACGAAGGCCAGGGGAGCAAACGGGG